rnacentral:SRP_RNA from 1 species
GUGUGCUAGAUGGGGAGUUAGCGGUGCCCUGUUACCCGGAAUCCGAUAUACCGGGAUUGAAUCCCCACCUGCGGCCUGUCCCGUCAGUAGCGCGGAAAAGGUAAGCAGUGAUGAUGGCCGGGUCCUGUACAAUACGGACGCGCCGAACCCCGCCAGGACCGGAAGGUAGCAACGGUAGGCGAUGAUCGGUAUGUGUUGCGGGGCAGCCUGGUCGGAGCCGGCUGCCCUGGAAACCUUCGGGCGGAGGGACAACGGUGGGUGCACAC